GCGGCGACCAGCCGGUGAGUGCAGGCGUCCGACCCCGACCUCCAGGCUUCCGAGCGGUGGCAGUCGGGCCUCAUCCUUGUCCGAGGCGCUCCGGGAAUUGCCGUAGAAGCCUCAGCACGAUGUGGCACGAGGCCCGGAAGCAUGAGCGGAAGCUCCGAGGCAUGAUGGUGGACUACAAGAAAAGGGCAGAGCGGCGUCGGGAGUACUACGAGAAAAUUAAGAAAGACCCCGCCCAGUUCCUGCAGGUGCAUGGCCGAGCCUGCAAGGUUCACCUGGAUUCUGCAGUUGCCCUGGCUGCCGAGAGCCCUGUGAACAUGAUGCCCUGGCAGGGAGACACCAACAACAUGAUUGACCGCUUUGAUGUCCGUGCGCAUCUGGACCACAUCCCUGACUAUACCCCCCCACUGCUCACCACCAUCUCCCCGGAACAGGAGUCAGAUGAGCGGAAGUGUAACUACGAGCGGUACCGAGGCCUGGUGCAGAACGACUUCGCCGGCAUCUCUGAGGAGCAGUGCUUGUAUCAGAUCUACAUUGACGAGCUGUACGGAGGCCUGCAGAGACCCAGCGAGGAUGAGAAGAAGAAGCUGGCAGAGAAGAAGGCUUCCAUCGGCUACACCUAUGAAGACAGCACUGUGGCCGAGGUAGAGAAGGUGGCGGAGAAGCCAGAGGAGGAAGAGUCGCCAGCAGAGGAGGAGAGCAACUCGGAUGAAGAUGAGGUCAUCCCCGACAUCGACGUGGAGGUGGACGUGGAUGAGCUGAACCAGGAGCAGGUGGCUGAUCUCAAUAAGCAGGCCACAACCUACGGCAUGGCUGACGGGGACUUUGUCAGGAUGCUGCGGAAGGACAAGGAGGAGGCCGAGGCCAUCAAACAUGCCAAGGCUCUGGAGGAGGAGAAGGCCAUGUAUUCGGGCCGUCGUUCCCGGCGACAGCGAAGAGAGUUCCGGGAGAAGCGGCUGAGGGGCCGCAAGAUCAGCCCUCCUAGUUACGCCCGCCGAGACAGCCCCACCUAUGACCCCUAUAAGCGGUCACCUUCGGAAUCCAGUUCCGAGUCCCGCUCCCGCUCUCGCUCCCCGAGCCCUGGCCGCGAGGAAAAAAUCACUUUCAUCACCAGUUUUGGAGGCAGUGACGAGGAGGCAGCUGCUGCAGCUGCUGCAGCCGCCGCAUCGGGAGCUGCCCCGGGGAAGCCCCCCGCGCCUCCCCAACCGGGUGGCCCCGCUCCAGGCCGUAAUGCCAGCGCCCGCCGCCGCUCCUCUUCGUCCUCCGCCUCCAGGACCUCCAGCUCCCGAUCCAGUUCGCGCUCCAGCUCGCGCUCCCGCCGUGGCUAUUACCGCUCUGGCCGCCACGCGCGCUCGCGCUCGCGCUCCCGUUCCUGGUCCCGCUCGCGCUCCCGCUCCCGCCGCUACUCGCGCUCCCGCAGCCGCGGACGGCGGCACUCAGACGGCGGUUCCCGCGACGGACACCGCUACUCACGCUCGCCCGCCCGGCGCAGCGGGUACGCGCCCCGCCGAAGGAGCAGGAGCCGCUCCCGAUCAGGUGACCGCUAUAAGCGGGGUGCCCGAGGCCCCAGGCAUCAUAGCAGCAGUCAUAGCCGCAGCAGCUGGUCCCUCAGCCCUUCCCGAAGCCGCAGUCUGACCCGUAGUGGAAGCCGAAGCCAGAGCCGGAGCAGAAGCCGCAGCCAGAGCCACAGCCAGAGCCAGAGUCACUCGCCAUCGCCCCCAAGGGAGAAGCUGACCAGGCUGGCAGCGUCCCCUGCUGUGGGCGAGAAGCUGAAAAAGACCGAACCUGCCGCUGGUAAAGAGACAGGAGCUGCCAAAGUCAGUAAGAAUUUGGAACUCGCCCGUCUAAUUCCCGUCAGCAGCAGUGUCCAGAGCUGGGCCUGGUGGGCCUGCAGGGGGCCCAGGGGGAGGGGAGAGCCAGCCCAGGGACUGGGGAAGGGCUACCCAGGCAAACUAAGUCCUAUCCCUACCUCCCAUGGGGCUCCAGCUGGCCCCCAAGUCCCAGACUCUUGGCUGAGGUGGGCUGGGCGAGCUCUGGGCACCCACGCCUAUCCCGCCCCUUCUCCCGCAGCCCAAGCUGACCCCACAGGAGAGGCUGAAGCUGCGGAUGCAGAAGGCUCUGAACCGCCAGUUCAAGGCGGAUAAGAAGGCAGCUCAGGAGAAGAUGAUCCAGCAGGAGCACGAGCGGCAGGAGCGAGAAGAUGAACUGCGAGCCAUGGCCCGAAAGAUCCGAAUGAAGGAGCGAGAGCGAAGAGAAAAGGAGAGAGAAGAGUGGGAACGCCAGUAUAGCCGCCAGAGCCGCUCACCCUCCCCACGCUACAGUCGAGAGUACAGUUCCUCCCGCAGGCGCUCAAGGUCCAGGUCCCGAAGCCCCCAUUACAGACAUUAGGCAGAAGACUGAGUUGGGGGCUGUUAUGCUGCUGGGUUUCUGUAGUGAAAUAAAAGCUAACGUUAUUUAAUGGACUUCA